rnacentral:lncRNA from 1 species
AGCAUCAUUCUUCAACCAAACGACGCCGCUUUGUCGUCUUUUAAUCUACGCCGUUGAGGUAUCCGAAUCUAACGGCUCAGAACUAAGGAUCCCUUAGUGUAUUACUGUUCGAAUACUCCGUAUCCCCCUAAGUCCUCCUCCUUGUUACAUCUUCAGAUAACCAAGCCACAAAUCCUAAACCGCCGGCCCUUUCGCCCACCGCCUUGGGGUGGCGGAACCGAUCUCAUUCAUCCCAAAAUAAGACCCCGAAUUCUACGCAAUCCCCUCAUCUCAAAUACCUGAACUAUAUCCCUCGAAUCUUAGCCAGUCGUCUCGAAUCUUUAAUCAAAGGUUUGACCAAAAACCCCAAUCCUCCCAAAUGCGGUCAACAUCGUACCCCAAAGUCUCCUAGUCUCCUCAAUUCGAAUUCCAUGUCAAGAAUCUUCAAAUUCAAGUGAAGUUCCGCCAAUUGAAAAUCUAGGAUUUGUCCCUUUUGAAGUUAAGAGUUGAAUUGACCCCUGUAAUGGCUGCCUAAUUUCAAGCGUGUAGUGAGUUCUCCUCUUUUACUUUGUUUAUGGUUCUUUCUCUUUGACCCUUCUGGGUUUCUCUUUUAUUCUUUUUAUUUUCAAUAUGGUGAAUCUCUGUUCUUUUCCUUGGUAUUUUAAUCUAAAUUAAUGAAUAUGAUUUGUUUGUGAUAAGCGUGCUGUUUAGGCAUGAGUAUUGAAGUCAAGCAUGUUGAUUUUUUGAUUAGUUUAGGCAUGAGUAUUGAAGUCAAGCAUGUUGGUUCUCAUUUGGUUUAAUUUUUCUUUUGAUCAUGUGUUGUGAUAUUUGAAGUGUGUUUUGACAAGUUUUAGUUUUAUUAGUUAGUUAGAUUAGAUCGCUCUUUGAAUCAUUUUUUCAUUAGUAAAAUUGGAUUGGUUUUUUAGCUUUGUUAAUUCACUAGUUAUGGCUUUAUUAAGCUCUUAGAAUAAUUGUAGUUAAACUUCAACUAGGGUUAGUUCAGUCUAGUAAAAUUCAGGGUAAAGGCAGGGGUAGUUUGGGCAUUUAACCAUAUGAUAGAAUAGAAUCCCCAGAAUCUUUUAGAAUGGGGCUCAAGUUUAUAUUUCAGUAAGUUUAGGAUAUUAACUUGAGUGACAAGUCAGAAAUUUAGGACUAUUUGAAUAAAAUCUGAAAAUAAAGAGGGGGAAAAUGAAUGAGGGAAUUCUAGAAUCUUCCUACCCCCUUCUUGCCUAUAAAAGGCAGCCCCGAUGCAUUAAUAAACAAGUUUGGAAGCCCAAAACUUUCCCCAAAAACCUAUCCUGAAUCCCAAGUUUGAAUUUCAAAUUUAGAAGUUUAAAAAUCUGAACUCUUACAGUUUCCACCUUCUUUUAGAUAUGAAUUCCUACUCAAAAAUCCAAAAACAAACAGAAAUAUAGUAAAAAUAAAAAAGGCACCGUUUCAUUGAAAUUUUAGGAUAAUUUUGAUUUAUAGUUGUUAAUUCACAUCUUCUAGUUCAAUAUCUGUUGGCUGGGAGCUUCAGAGGUGUCUUGGUUCAAAUUCGAGCUAGUUUUGGGUUUACUUGAGCUGUGUUGGUUGUUUUAAACUUUAUUUGGUUAAUUCAAUCGGUUUCUGGGUCUAGUUGUUGUUCUUUCGUGCUAGUGGUUUUACAAAAUUCAAGCUGAAAUAGCUGUAGUAGUCCUUUGCUACUUGAGUCUGUGCCUCUCACAUUGCUGCUGAUCUCUCCUUUCCUCAUUUCUCUUGUCAAAUUCUAGGUACAUAUUCUGUAGUGUCUCAAUGUAGCUUCUCCUGUCAAACAAUGAAAUGAAACUGAGGCGAUUCCCUACUGUAGAUCUACUGUCUGAUAAUCUUGUCAUGUUUAAGUUCCUUUUCUAUGAUUUGGUUUGUCGUUCAGUGUAAUUAUGUUUGGACUGUAAUUAGGACUGCUUUAAAGUGAUUUGGACUAGUUUUUCUGGACUUUCAAUUUGUAUUAAUUGAUCAAACUCUAUAAUUGUAUAAUUGUCCUAAUGGUAGCAUUAUUUGUGAACACUAGAAUUAGCAGGCUAUUAAUACUAGAAAAACAGGGGGCAGUCAUUGAGAUUUGAAUAGUUGAAGUAUUUUACAAAUUGUGUUAAGUGGAUUGUGAGCUAUAUUUGUAUAAUCCAUGUCAGUGUGGUUGUGUUAAUUGGAGCAUUGUUUGAGGACCGGCUGAAAAUGAGUGUUAACUUAGAAUUUAACCAAAUAUGUGCAUAAUUCUCUAGGUUAGUUGGAGUUUAGUUUACUUUUGGAAAUCAGAAAUAGAAUAUCAAUAGGAUAGGUGUUGUGUAUCCUGUUCAACAAAUGUUGGCUACGCUAAUUCGUUCAUCGAGUUCAAUAAUUGAUUAUAGUACUUCCUUGGGUUAUAUCUAAUCAGAAUACAAGUUAAAAUAAAAUUGAUGGUUGUUGAGUUCAUUGAAUUUGGAAUUACCUUCAGUUGUUACUCAAAAUUCUGAACCUAAUUGUGCAAACUCAACCGUGAGUACUAGGCUGACCCCAAGCGUUCCGAGCUUAACAGCCCAUUCAAGUGUUUUGGUGUCACUGAUGCCCGAGCUACUUAUGUUUCUGAUGUACCGUUCGAAUUGGGCAUGUAAUGAGCUCAAGGCUGGUUGGCCGCUCAUGAAGUAAAAAUGCUGGUUAUUUAUGUUAGGCUGGACUUGAGAACAUAUACACUAAAGACUCUCACUCCUUUAAAUCAUGAUUUAGUUUAGGCUUUGGGCCUGUUAAUC